GAUGAACGCUGGCGGCGUGCCUAAUACAUGCAAGUCGAGCGAACGGACGAGAAGCUUGCUUCUCUGAUGUUAGCGGCGGACGGGUGAGUAACACGUGGAUAACCUACCUAUAAGACUGGGAUAACUUCGGGAAACCGGAGCUAAUACCGGAUAAUAUUUUGAACCGCAUGGUUCAAAAGUGAAAGACGGUCUUGCUGUCACUUAUAGAUGGAUCCGCGCUGCAUUAGCUAGUUGGUAAGGUAACGGCUUACCAAGGCAACGAUGCAUAGCCGACCUGAGAGGGUGAUCGGCCACACGGGAAAUGAGACACGGUCCAGACCCCUACGGGGGGCAGCAGUAGGGAAUCUUCCGCAAUGGGCGAAAGCCUGACGGAGCAACGCCGCGGGGGUGAUGAAGGUCUUCGGAUCGUAAAACUCUUUUAUUAGGGAAAAACAUAUGUGUAAGUAACUGUGCACCUCUUGACGGUACCUAAUCAGAAAGCCCCGGCUAACUACGU
rnacentral:rRNA from 1 species